GCCAAGUAGCGUGCAGGAUGACGGCCCUAUGGGUUGUAAACUGCUUUUAUACAGGGAUAAAGUUAGCCACGUGUGGUUAUUUGCAGGUACUGUAUGAAUAAGGACCGGCUAAUUCCGUGCCAGCAGCCGCGGUAAUA
rnacentral:rRNA from 1 species